rnacentral:rRNA from 1 species
CCUACGGGUGGCAGCAGUGGGGAAUAUUGGGCAAUGGGCGCAAGCCUGACCCAGCAACGCCGCGUGAAGGAAGAAGGCUUUCGGGUUGUAAACUUCUUUUCUCAGGGACGAAGAAAGUGACGGUACCUGAGGAAUAAGCCUCGGCUAACUACGUGCCAGCAGCCGCGGUAAUACGGAGGUGGCAAGCGUUAUCCGGAUUUACUGGGUGUACAGGGCGUGUAGGCGGGGACGCAAGUCAGAUGUGAAAACCACGGGCUAAACCUGUGGCCUGCAUUUGAAACUGUGUUUCUUGAGUACUGGAGAGGCAUACGGAAUGCCUAGUGUAGCGGUGAAAUGCGUAGAUAUUAGGAGGAACACCAGUGGCGAAGGCGGUCUGCUGGACAGCAACUGACGCUGAGGCGCGAAAGCGUGGGGAGCAAACAGGAUUAGAUACCCUUGUAGUC